AUGGAAUUCAGUCAAGUUCCAACUUUAAACACCAAGUCUGAGGAGACUUCUUAAAUGUUUCCCUCUGCCUUAGAAGACACAAAGCUCCUUUGCAAUGUUUUCUGCUGGUGACUGGAUUCCUCCAGGGGCUAAUGAGGAGAUGUAAAACCACAGUGAACCCAAUGACCAUUUCAAAUCUAGGCCUAAACCAGAAAAGGAGGGCUCACAACUCAGUGUUUCUUCGGUAUCUUGAGAAGAUUUCUGUUCUCUGCACUGCUGGAAGGGGUAGACCCCUGCUCUGAGAUUUGGUGCUAGAGCCCCAUGCUCUGUCACCAGAGCCUGAACAAAAGCAGCCCCCACUGCCCUACAGAGAGCUUUGCCCAGCUGCAAACUUCCCAGGGGCUGAAAAUGCAGCUCAGCGUUGACAGCUGUUGAUGUGGUUUCACACCAGUGCUGUUUUCCCAAGACAAUGGUUCCUUCACAGGUCAGUGUCUUACUUCAGGAGGCCCCUUCAAACUCCAGCACUAGCUACAGGUCCUGCU